UUAAGCUCAACCCAUUUCGAUAUAUUCAGACCUAGUCCAAGCGAAUAUCCAGGUCCUAGCUUAUAUUAGGGUUAGGGUUUCACCGAAUUCGAAUUUCCUCGGUGAAGAAGGCGAAGAUCAGAGAGAGAAGGAAAAAAAGAAAAUUAAUGGCGUCGACAGUGGGAUGAGGUGCAGCGGUGCAGUUCUGGAGAGCAGCGGGGAUGAUGUACAUAUCCUACUCGAACAUCUGUGCGAAUCUAGUGAAGAACUGCCAUUCAAAUCCGAAGCCCUCACUCGCGAGAAGGUCCAUUUCUCCAUUUCCAAAUGGGAUAAUGGCGUUCCCCAGAAGCCCAGUUUGAGAUAGAGGUGUUGGCAAUUUUGGGGUCUUUUUAGAGGGCAGUGCUUGAAGAUUAAUGCUAGAGAUAUGGUAUCCAAGAAAUAUAGCAAAAAAAGAAGAAGAUGAUGAAGAAUUAGAGACCCUCUUACGAAGAUAGUAUUGUACUUUUUAAUUUAAGUUUGUAUAUUAUCUUAAUUGAAUGUUUGUAAUUAAUUUUUUUUUUUGUAUAUGGAAAACAGAGAGUAACUAGAAAAAUAUUUAUUCCAUUGUGUUUUUAAUAUUCAAAUGUAUAUAUAAUAUUUUUUUUCCUUGAGUAAUAGUUUAUUUGUAUGGUUUUAGGACUUAA